rnacentral:rRNA from 1 species
GAGUGAAACAGUACCUGAAACCGAAUGCCUACAAGCAGUAGGAGGGCCCUUGAGGCCUGACUGCGUACCUCUUGCAUAAUGGGUCAGUGACUUAGUGUAUCAAGCAAGCUUAAGCCGAUAGGUGUAGGCGCAGCGAAAGCGAGUCUGAAUAGGGCGAAUGAGUUUGAUGCAUUAGACCCGAAACCCGGUGAUCUAGGCAUGACCAGGCUGAAGGUGCGGUAACACGCACUGGAGGGCCGAACCGUUCAAUGUUGAAAAAUUGUCGGAUGAGUUGUGUUUAGGGGUGAAAGGCCAAUCAAACCGGGAAAUAGCUGGUUCUCCGCGAAAUCUAUUGAGGUAGAGCGUCGGAUGAAUACCUUGGGGGGUAGAGCACUGGAUGGAUGCGGGGGUCGCGAGAUCUACCAAUUCUAACCAAACUCCGAAUAC